AUACGUAGGGGGCGAGCGUUGUCCGGAAUGAUUGGGCGUAAAGGGCGCGUAGGCGGCCUGUUAAGUCUGGAGUGAAAGUCCUGUUUUCAAGAUGGGAAUUGCUUUGGAUACUGAUGGGCUUGAGUGCAGGAGAGGUUAUCGGAAUUCCCGGUGUAGCGGUGAAAUGCGUAGAGAUCGGGAGGAACACCAGUGGCGAAGGCGGGUAACUGGACUGCAACUGACGCUGAGGUGCGAAAGUGUGGGGAGCAAACAGGAUUAGAUACCCUGGUAGUCCACACUGUAAACGAUGAAUGCUAGGUGUAAGAGGUAUCGACCCCUUUUGUGCCGGAGUUAACACAAUAAGCAUUCCGCCUGGGGAGUACGGCCGCAAGGUUGAAACUCAAAGGAAUUGGCGGGG
rnacentral:rRNA from 1 species